rnacentral:rRNA from 1 species
UACGGAGGGUGCAAGCGUUAAUCGGAAUUACUGGGCGUAAAGCGCACGCAGGCGGUCUGCGAAGUUUGGAGUGACAGUUGGUGGCUCAACCACCAAAGUGCUUUGAAAACUGACAGACUUGAGGGCUUCAGAGGGACACGGAAUUCCGGGUGGAGUGGUGAAAUGCGUAGAGAUCCGGAGGAACACCAAAGGCGAAGGCAGUGUCCUGGGGAGUACCUGACGCUCAGGUGCGAAAGCCAGGGGAGCGAACGGG